AGUGAACGCUGGCGGUAGGCCUAACACAUGCAAGUCGAACGGCAGCACAGUAAGAGCUUGCUCUUACGGGUGGCGAGUGGCGGACGGGUGAGGAAUACAUCGGAAUCUACUUUUUCGUGGGGGAUAAUGUAGGGAAACUUACGCUAAUACCGCAUACGACCUACGGGUGAAAGCAGGGGAUCUUCGGACCUUGCGCGAUUGAAUGAGCCGAUGUCGGAUUAGCUAGUUGGCGGGGUAAAGGCCCACCAAGGCGACGAUCCGUAGCUGGUCUGAGAGGAUGAUCAGCCACACUGGAACUGAGACACGGUCCAGACUCCUACGGGAGGCAGCAGUGGGGAAUAUUGGACAAUGGGCGCAAGCCUGAUCCAGCCACACCGCGUGGGUGAAGAAGGCCUUCGGGUUGUAAAGCCCUUUUGUUGGGAAAGAAAAGCAGCAGGUUAAUACCCCGCUGUUCUGACGGUACCCAAAGAAUAAGCACCGGCUAACUUCGUG
rnacentral:rRNA from 1 species